AACCCGUAGAUCCGAUCUUGUGGUGAAGUGAAAUACACAAGCUCGCCUCUCUGGGUCUG
rnacentral:pre_miRNA from 1 species